CAGAUAAAUUUUUAUUAAAUUUUAAAUUGAAUCUUAAAUUCAUAUCAUGUUGAUUGAGUCAAAUUAUUGAUUAAUAAAGUUGGAUUAAUAUUGAAUUAAAGUUAUAUAAUUUAAAUGAAGUCUAAUUCUAUUUGAAUCAACCUGUUAAGUUGAUACGAUAAGCCUAAUUUAUGCUCUUCAAGUCGAAGUCCCACUGGAAUUAAGUAGAGAGCAAAAUAGCUACAAGCCUUAGUUCACGCCUAUAUAAAGAAGUCUUGACUCUUGACCAAAGAAAGAGAGAAAACAAAUAGCGAAGAUCAUUCUGCUCUUUCAUGGUGAUUCGCAAAUCUUCCGCAUAUGAAGAAGUCUUCAACUCCAAGUUGUGAGCCGGAAGCUUCCACACCUCCCUGUACAAUUGUGAUCCACCCCUGGCACCGCAUUCGUGGUGAAAUUUCAAUAAAAUAUUCUAUUAAUCAAGAAAAAGUUGAAGAGCGUGAGGGGGAAAAUAAGAGAUUACAUCUUUUUUAUAAGGUUUUGAAGUUGCUAUUUGCAUUUUUUAAUAUAUUUUUUUUUUAUUAAAUAAUAUCCUAAAGGCUUUAGAAGCCAUAACUCCAACAUUUUGAAGUGGAGUGCCAUUACUUCAACAUUUUGAAGUGGAAACAUCUCUAAUGGUUUUAAAAGACAGCACUCGUUUUUGUCUAGUGUACAAUUUCUUUCAUUUUGUAAAGAUGCCUUCUCUUAUAUAAAGAGAAGGUUCUGCAUGGCAUAAGACGGACGAAGAAAAAUUGUGAGUCAACAAAUUCAGUUAUUAAAGAGAGUUUAAUAGUUGAAGGGAGGCGUUAUUUUUGUGGAGCUUUGAACUCAACUUUUGUCUAGAGGUGUUGAGUUAUUGUGAGUAGACUGUUGUAUCCUGGAGGGGACAAGUCAAAGAGUAUUACUGCUGGAUCGGUGAAACAAUUGUUGCAGUGGGCUUGAAUCUCCUUAAAGAGAGCGAGAUAUCCGCACCUCAGCCAUAGAAAAAGAAAAUAUAUUUUUUCUUUAUUCAUUUUGUAAAUUUCAGUUGUAAUCAAUUGUAAUAUUAUUACAAUUUAUUGUAAUUUUCACCAAUAAUUUUAAGGAGAUUUCAAUGGUAACAACUAAAAGUUCCGCGGAUGUCAAGUCGGGAGAUCUGAACAAGCCAUUUCGGUUGAACGGUGCUCACUUCAAGAGGUAGAAGGGUAAAGUGUUUUUCUACUUAAGUCUUCUCCAUGUUUCUUAUGUGUUAACUGAGAAAAACCCGAACAAAGUAGAUGACUCUUCCAUGAGCGAUGAAGAAUACAUUUCUCAUCAAGAGAAAGUGGAAAAAUACAAUAAUGACUCCUAGUAAGUAUGACACUGUGGAGGUGGGAGCGAAAAAAUAUGCGGCUAGCAGAUUUUUCCAUUUCAAAUGGUGGACAAUAAAUCAGUGACAAACCAAGCACAAGAUUUUAUAAUGAUUGUUGACAAGCUCAGGUUCGAGGAAAUAAAAAUUGAAGAUAACCUUAUUGUUUGUGGCAUAAUUGAUAAACUUCCACCUUCGAGGAAAGAAUUUCAAAAAACUAUGCGUCACAAGCAUAAGGAAACUUCUCUUGAAACUUUGAUAAUGAGAAUCCGCAUGGAAGAAGAAGCAAGGGGCCAAGAUGCACUUAUGCAAACAGAAGAGAACAACAUCACAUCGAAGGAAAAUUUAACUUCAAGUAAUGCUACUCAUGAACCUAACAAAAAUACUAUUUUGAAGCCUAAGAAGAAAAAAUUCAAGAAUAAUAAUGGUAGACAUCCCAGUAAUAAUAAUGGGGAAAAUAACCAAGCAAAAAAUCAACAUGUACAAGAAAAAGGAUUGUGCUUUGUCUGUGGCAAGAGUGGCAUAUUGCUCGAUUUUGCAGAUACCAGAAACGUGGGCCUACACCUCAGGCAAACGUUAUCGAAGAACCUUUUGUGGCAGUGAUAACAGCAGACACAAACAUAAUGGUGAAUGUUGAUGGAUGGUGGGCUGACUCCAAAAACCAUCAUGUUUGCUAGGACAAAGACUGGUUUAAAAAUUAUAAAAAUUUUGAGGAGCCCAAAACCAUCAUGCUUGGAGAUUCACACAUAAGCCAAGUACUUGAAAUGGGGAAUGUCGAGUUGAGAUUUACUUCCGAAAGGGUAUUAAUCUUAAAAGAUGUACUUUAUACUCUUUCCAUGAGAAAAAAUUUGAUGUCAAGUUUUCUUUUUAAUAAGGCAGGUUUCAAACAAAUUAUUGAAUCUGAUCAGUAUGUAAUCUUGAAAAAUAAUAUUUUUAUGGGGAAAGGGAAUGCAUCACAGAUGAAUGUUGAGAUGAAUAAAACAUCUACUUCUGUUUA